rnacentral:rRNA from 1 species
GACGAACGCUGGCGGCGUGCUUAACACAUGCAAGUCGAACGGAAAGGCCCUUCUUUUUUGGGUUUCUCGAGUUGCGAACGUUUUAGUAACACUUUUGUAACCUUCCCUUUACUUUGUUAUAACUUCACGUAACUCUGGCUAAUACCUGAUAUUAUCUCCUGCUGCAUGGUUUUCUUUGGAUAGUUUCGGCGGUUGGGGAUGGACUCGCUGCUUAUCAGCUUUUUGGUGGGGUAGUGGCUUACCAAGGCUUUGACGGGUAGCCGGCCUGAGAGGGUGACAGGAGAAAUUGGGACUGAGAUAAGGAACAGACUAGAACGGGAGGCAGCAGUGGGGAAUAGUGCAGAAUGGGAGGAAGGAUGAUGCAGCAAAGCAGCGUGCGGGAUGACGGGAUUGGGGUUGUAAAAAGAAUUCGAAUGAGAAGAAGAGUGAGUGACGGUAAUGGGUAAAGAAGCACCGGCUAACUACGUG